rnacentral:rRNA from 1 species
AUUGAACGCUGGCGGCAGGCCUAACACAUGCAAGUCGAACGAGUGGCGGACGGGUGAGUAAUGUCUGGGAAACUGCCUGAUGGAGGGGGAUAACUACUGGAAACGGUCGCUAAUACCGCAUACCAUCGGAUGUGCCCAGCUGGGAUUAGCUAGUAGGUGGGGGAAAGGCUCACCUAGGCGACGAUCCCUAGCCGGUCGGAGAGGAUGACCGGCAACACGGGAACUGAGAACCGGGCCAGACUCCUACGGGAGGCAGCAGGGGGGAAUAUUGCACAAUGGGCGCAGGCCGGAGGCAGCAAUGCCGCGGGUAUGAAGAAGGCCUUCGGGUUGUAAAGUACUUUCAGCGGGGAGGCGUUACCCGCAGAAGAAGCACCGGCUAACUCCGUGCCAGCAGCCGCGGUAAUUC